CGGCGAAGAGUGUGUAUGUAGCGUUUGAUUCAAUGCUUGCAAGGUCGCUAAUAUAAAUUAGAAAUAGUAUGGGUCCAAGGACAGAGUAGCCCUGAGGAACACCAAUAUUAACAACACUCUCCCCCAACAACACCCCAGACACCCUCACAGAUUGUAGCCUUUUCCUGAGGAGUAUGCCAUGGUCCACACAAUCAAACGCCUUACUCAAGUCGCAAAACAUAACAGUGCUGAAUUGCAUACUAUGAGAGGAUUCCAAAAUGAGGGACACCAAGUCAAGAAUGCCAAGAGUUGUGGUCCUGUUCUUUCUGAAACCAAACUGUAAUCCAGAGAAAUAGUUGUUACUUUAAAAGAAAUUUGUAAUUUGCAAAGCUAUGGCCUUUUCUACUAUUUCAGAGAUACUUGGGAGCAAUGGAGCAAGGAUGAUUAUCACAUCCAUAGAGGGUAUACAUCAAAUUUCCUGUAGAACAUGCACUGCAAGAACUUCUUUUGUACUCCCUCAAUCAGUGUUAACCAAGAUAUUGUAUUAAGAAGACCAAAUGAUAAGCCAUACUCCAAGAAUCAACCAGGCAAUCAAAAAGAUGAAAACUGACCUCAACACUGAACUCCUGAGGUGGAGCUAGGAAUAAACCCUGAAACUUUCUAGGAACUCUUGAACUUUGACAAAAUAUAGUCCUACAGGUGGGACCUUUGAUAUGACACUCAAAUCACAAAACAGUUUUACUGCUAGCCAAUGCCUUAUUCAACUCUAGACACGGAUUUUUCUGACGAGCAUCUUCGAGAGAAGAUUAAAACUAAACUGGAACUACUUACAAAUGCCCUUAUAUAUUAAAGAUGUACUAACUAAUGGAGUGAAAAACCCAAAGAAGCAUGGCUGAACAUAGAAUGUGUCGAGGAAAAGAGACAGUGGCGUCAAAAAUAACUCCUAGAUCCUUCAUCAGUUUUUUUUUCAUACAUACAUACGUUUUGUUUAUUAUUGAAAGUGUAUUUAAAAGUAACGUAAUAAUUAUUUCAAAUAAAUGACAUACACGCUCA